UACAGAGGGUGCAAGCGUUGUUCGGAAUUAUUGGGCGUAAAGGGAGUGUAGGCGGUCUCUUAAGUCUCCUGUGAAAGCUUCGGGCUCAGCCUGAUAAAGUGCAGGGGAAACUGAAAGACUUGAGUGUCAGAGAGGAAAGCGGAAUUCCCGGUGUAGAGGUGAAAUUCGUAGAGAUCGGGAGGAACACCAGUGGCGAAGGCGGCUUUCUGGCUGACAACUGACGCUGAGACUCGAAAGCAUGGGGAGCAAACAGG
rnacentral:rRNA from 1 species